rnacentral:rRNA from 1 species
AUUGAACGCUGGCGGCAGGCCUAACACAUGCAAGUCGAACGGUAGCACAGAGAGCUUGCUCUCGGGUGACGAGUGGCGGACGGGUGAGUAACGUCUGGGAAACUGCCCGAUGGAGGGGGAUAACUACUGGAAACGGUAGCUAAUACCGCAUAACGUCGCAAGACCAAAGUGGGGGACCUUCGGGCCUCACACCAUCGGAUGUGCCCAGAGGGGAUUAGCUAGUAGGUGGGGUAAUGGCUCACCUAGGCGACGAUCCCUAACUGGUCUGAGAGGAUGACCAGCCAAACUGGAACUGUGACACGGUCCAGACUCCUACGGGAGGCAGCAGUGGGGAAUAUUGCACAAUGGGCGCAAGCCUGAUGCAGCCAUGCCGCGUGUAUGAAGAAGGCCUUCGGGUUGUAAAGUACUUUCAGCGGGGAGGAAGGCGGUGAAGUUAAUAGCUUCACCGAUUGACGUUACCCGCAGAAGAAGCACCGGCUAACUCCGUGCCAGCCGCCGCAGUAA